GAGUUUGAUCCUGGCUCAGGAUGAACGCUGGCGGCGUGCUUAACACAUGCAAGUCGAACGGGAAAUAUUUCAUUGAGACUUCGGUGGAUUUGAUCUAUUUCUAGUGGCGGACGGGUGAGUAACGCGUGGGUAACCUGCCUUAUACAGGGGGAUAACAGUCAGAAAUGGCUGCUAAUACCGCAUAAGCGCACAGGGCUGCAUGGCUCAGUGUGAAAAACUCCGGUGGUAUAAGAUGGACCCGCGUUGGAUUAGCUAGUUGGUGGGGUAACGGCCCACCAAGGCGACGAUCCAUAGCCGGCCUGAGAGGGUGAACGGCCACAUUGGGACUGAGACACGGCCCAGACUCCUACGGGAGGCAGCAGUGGGGAAUAUUGCACAAUGGGGGAAACCCUGAUGCAGCGACGCCGCGUGGAGGAAGAAGUAUCUCGGUACGUAAACUUCUAUCAGCAGGGAAGAUAGUGACGGUACCUGACUAAGAAGCCCCGGCUAACUACGUGCCAGCCGCCGCGGUAAUAC
rnacentral:rRNA from 1 species